rnacentral:misc_RNA from 1 species
AGAUCUAUAUGAAUAGAAACUGAAUAAAACAAUCCAUUUGUCAAAGAUCAUACAGACAUCGUCAGCAUCCUUUUCUGAUCAAAUUUGAAAUUGAUCUUUCUCCAAACAACGAAUCUUGCAAUACCAGCAGAUUGUAAAGGCAUGAGCAAACUGAACCAAUAUGUGAUGAUUUUUUAAACUGAGCGUCUCCCACCACUGAAGCUUCAAAUCCGG